rnacentral:rRNA from 1 species
UCCCUAUGGGGUGCAGCAGGCGCGAAACCUCCACAAUGCGCGAAAGCGUGAUGGGGUUAGCCCGAGUGCCGUCCGAAAAGGAUGGCUUUUCCUUGGUGUAAAAACCCAGGGGAAUAAAGGGGGGGCAAGACUGGUGUCAGCCGCCGCGGUAAUACCAGCCCCCUGAGUUAUAGGGACGAUUAUUUAGCCUAAAGCGACCGUAGCCGGCUUAGUGAGUCUUUUGUUAAAUCCAAUGAUUCAAUCAUUGAACUGCAAGAGAUACUGCUACGCUAGAGGACGGGAGAGGUCGACGGUAGUCCAGGGGUAGGGGUGAAAUCCUAUAAUCCUUGGAGGACCACCAGUGGCGAAGGCGGUCGACUAGAACGUGCCUGACGGUGAGGGACGAAAGCUGGGGGAGCGAACCGGAUUAGAUACCCGGGUAGUCCCAGCUGUAAACGAUGCAGGCUAGGUGUUUGGGUGGCCACGAGCCGCCCUAGUGCCGCAGGGAAGCUGUUAAGCCUGCCGCCUGGGGAGUACGGCCGCAAGGCUGAAACUUAAAGGAAUUGGCGGGGGAGCACCACAAGGGGUGAAGCUUGCGGUUUAAUUGGAUUCAACGCCGGAA